rnacentral:tRNA from 1 species
GCCUAGCUGGCUCAUUCGGAAGAGUAUGUGAUUCUUGUUCUCGGGGUCGUGAGUUCAAGCCCCAUGUUGGGUG